GCGCAGCAGUCGCGAAUAGUCUACAAUGGACGAAAGUCUGAUAGUGCGACGCCGUGUGUGCGAUUAAUUCCUUCGGGAUGUAAAGCACUUUUCUAUGAGAUAAAAGCUCUUUAGGUUAAUAGCUUAUUGAGACGGAUAUUAUUAUAGGAAUAAGCUCCGGCUAACUCCGUGCCAGCAGCCGCGGUAAUACGGAAGGAGCGAGCGUUGUCCGGAUUUACUAGGCGUAAAGGGCUAGUAGGCGACUAAUUAAGUUAUAUGUUAAAUCCCACGGCUCAACUGUGGUCCUGCAUGUAAUACUGGUUAGAUAGAGUACUGUAGAGGGAGGCAGAAUUCCUGGAGUAGCGGUGGAAUGCGCAGAUAUCAGGAAGAAUACCAAAAGCGAAGGCAGCCUUCUGGGCAGUUACUGACGCUGAAUAGCGAAGGUGUGGGUAGCGAACAGGAUUAGAUACCCGCGUAGU
rnacentral:rRNA from 1 species